CGAUACCUCCUUCAGGAAUGUGUACGUGUUCCUGACGUGGAUGGUCAACCGAGGCGAAAGAUCGUUACGUUCCUGACACGAUCCACUUUUCCCCAUCGAGAUACUCCUCCCACUCCCACGAUGACCGCCACCUCCCCCAUCCAGCGCCGCCACCUCCCCCGUCCAGCACCGCCACUUCCCCCGUACCGGCCGUCCAGUUCCGAUCGGCCGCCUCCCUCGCCGUCGAGCGCCGCCCCCCUCGCCGUCGAGCGCCACUCCGACUCGCCGGCGACUUCCAGAUCCGCCUCCCUGGCCGGCGAUUUCCAGAUCCGCCUCCCUCCCCGUGCAGAGAUCUGUAACUAUGGAAGGAAGACCAUGGGGAGGGGGUCAAGUAACUAUGGAAGGAUGACCAUGGGGAGGGAUUGCUCCUUGUAAGCAGCAAGAGCCUUUUUGCAGCACAAUUUAAACUUUCUACCUCCUCCAACGACGAUGCUGCUCUUCCCCAACGACAGCUUGCUGCUGAACUCUGUCAACACCCGCUGCUGAUCGUCUCUUGCAUCUACAUGUUGCUGUUCUUCUCCAUCUUCAAAGCCACGUCUUAGACUGCUGCAACACCAAGCUCCAGAAGCCAAAUUUAUGUUCUGUACUCCAUUAUUUCACCUCUUCCCUCGCUGAUUUCUUGAACCCCUUGCUUGUUCAGUUAGUGAGAUGUGUGUUCCUGUAUGCUGCCAAUUGAGAUGAUCUAGUUCUAGUUUUAUCACCUUAGUAUUUCAAUUAUUUGCUCGUUUGCAUGACUGAAGAUCUGAUGCUAUGUUAGAUUUAAAUUUCUUGUUCAACUUCAGAGAAAAUAUUAGUGUCCUAUUGAUUGUGUUCCAGCAUGAACUCGUUCUGAACCUCACCUACUGCUGUUUUAUUCUAUUUUGAGUUUUGUCCGAGUUUUGAGUGUGGGUUGUUUGUGAGAAGAGCAUCUUCUCUUAUGUAGGAAAAGCAGAAUGGCCUAUGGCAGCAACAAAGAUGAACACUUGCAAGUUCAUGAAGUUGGAAGUUUGCAAAUGUGGUUGAGAGUGGAGAUUGUGGCCCCAUCAAUAAUGUAAUGUUCAAAAGUGUCUUGUACUUGGGGCCACCGUUCUCCUCACCAGACCCUUGGGUGGGCGAAGGCCCUCAAGCACCUCCACUUGAACUUCUGCCUGUACUUGGCAAUAAGAGAAGUCUUCUUCACUUGCUUGGUGGCAGUUUUGAAAACCUGUGAAUGGAACCUUCCAAGCCCAAGGGAAUGCUGAUACUCCGUUGGCAGAAUGUUCCCAUGAUGAAGACCAUCCUCAUGCUACUCAUGCGGAUGAGCAUAGUUCUAUUCCAACACAGGACAAACAUUUAGGAAUUCCAGUAGUAUAACUAGUGGUUAAUAUUGUGAACUACAGUGCAGGUAGGGUUUCUUUGUCAAUUGCUUCUCCUGGCAAUUUAGGAAUCAACUAGUAUGCGUGUUUUGACUUGGUGACACCUCCUGUUAAGUUGAGCUUCCAUGAAUCAUGACUUGGAUAUGAAUGUGUGGAUCUUGUGAACAAUGAGAUUUAAAUAAAUUGGAUGGGUACAUUGUGGCCUA